rnacentral:tRNA from 1 species
UGCCUGGUGGCUUAGUGGUUAAGAGUUCGGCUGCUAACCAAAAGGUCAGCAGUUUGAAUCCACCAGGCAU